rnacentral:rRNA from 1 species
AUUGAACGCUGGCGGCCGUCCUAACACAUGCAAGUCGAGCGAGCGGCGGACGGGUGAGUAAUGUAUGUGGAUCUGCCCGAUAGAGGGGGAUAACUACUGGAAACGGUGUCUAAUCCCGCCUACUAUCGGAUUAACCCAUAUGGGAUUAGCUCGUAGGUGGGGUAAAGGCUCACCUAGGCGACGAUCUCUAGCUGGUCUGAGAGGAUGAUAAGCAACACUGGGACUGAGACACGGCCCAGACUCCUACGGGAGGCAGCAGGGGGGAAUAGUGCACAAUGGGCGCAAGCAUGAUGCAGCCAUGCCGCGUGUAUGAAGAAGGCCGUAGGGUUGUAAAGUACUUGCAGCGGGGAGGCGUUACACGCAGAAGAAGCACCGGCUAACUCCGUGCCAGCAGCCGCGGUAAUUC